rnacentral:siRNA from 1 species
CGUUGCCCUUGAUGUAUCUGGCA